rnacentral:lncRNA from 1 species
AAACCCCUGUGUCUUUACGAAGGGGGCAAUUAAUGAAGGCACAAGGCAGGCGGCUUCUGAAGAGUCUUCUGUGAGAUCCUGGGUGACCAUCACUCUACUUCUUUACGUAUCAAUAAUUAGUUAAGACAGAACCAAGUGAGAUUCUGCAAGGAGCUUGCGUUGCUGAAAACCUACCACGUGCCAGGCUCCGGCCUUUCACUGCCAACAAGAGAAGACUGUGAUAUGGUCCUGUUAUCAGUGAGCUCACAGAAAAGGGAACAUCCCAGCCUAGCAGGAUGCCAUUUCAGGCGCCAGAGAUACAGAAAUGAAUGAAUGAGACGAAGGUCCCCAUCUUCACGGAGCUUACAUUCUAGUGAGAGGAGACAGGCCAUCAAUGAAUAAAAAGUCAGAAAAAUAUAGUAUAUCAGCUGGCGAUAAGCGUGAAGAUGACAGAGCCUGGAGGAAGGGCAGAGCACACCUGGGCAGCGGCUGGGGGAAUGUGACUUCAAAGGCGGUGCCAUGGAGGGCCUCCCUGAGAAGAGGGCAUUCGAGCAAAGACGCAAAGGAGGAAGACAGCAGGUCCUGGGGACAUCUGGGGAGUGUCCCAGAUGGAGGGAAGAGCAGACGCUCUUUGAAGAUCAAGUUUACUCCCUCCGUUCCUUCCUCCUUCCCUCCUUUCCUUCCUUUUUUGUCUUCA